GGAGCUUGCUCCCGGAUGUUAGCGGCGGACGGGUGAGUAACACGUGGGUAACCUGCCUGUAAGACUGGGAUAACUCCGGGAAACCGGAGCUAAUACCGGAUAGUUCCUUGAACCGCAUGGUUCAAGGAUGAAAGACGGUUUCGGCUGUCACUUACAGAUGGACCCGCGGCGCAUUAGCUAGUUGGUGAGGUAACGGCUCACCAAGGCGACGAUGCGUAGCCGACCUGAGAGGGUGAUCGGCCACACUGGGACUGAGACACGGCCCAGACUCCUACGGGAGGCAGCAGUAGGGAAUCUUCCGCAAUGGACGAAAGUCUGACGGAGCAACGCCGCGUGAGUGAUGAAGGUUUUCGGAUCGUAAAGCUCUGUUGUUAGGGAAGAACAAGUGCAAGAGUAACUGCUUGCACCUUGACGGUACCUAACCAGAAAGCCACGGCUAACUACGUGCCAGCAGCCGCGGUAAUACGUAGGUGGCAAGCGUUGUCCGGAAUUAUUGGGCGUAAAGGGCUCGCAGGCGGUUUCUUAAGUCUGAUGUGAAAGCCCCCGGCUCAACCGGGGAGGGUCAUUGGAAACUGGGAAACUUGAGUGCAGAAGAGGAGAGUGGAAUUCCACGUGUAGCGGUGAAAUGCGUAGAGAUGUGGAGGAACACCAGUGGCGAAGGCGACUCUCUGGUCUGUAACUGACGCUGAGGAGCGAAAGCGUGGGGAGCGAACAGGAUUAGAUACCCUGGUAGUCCACGCCGUAAACGAUGAGUGCUAAGUGUU
rnacentral:rRNA from 1 species